AUGCUACGUUUCUAUCUGUUUCCUCAAGCUAGCUACUCACUUCUCAGCCGAGGCACAAUGCAGGGAGACGGAGCUCCUUCAUCUUUUAUUCUGAUUGAUCCGGGUUCAUCUUACCCAGUAACACUAAAGCGAUCUGGAGAGGAAACCAGAGUUUUGUCCAGCCUCCGUUACUAUUUCUGUAACGACGGAUGCCAGGCGAGGCCGAUGCGCGUCCCUCUCCAGUGCCGGUCCCCACCAGCCCGGGGCUGCUCCAGUUCCGCUGCCAGCGUCCCAGGAGGGAGGAUGAAAAUAUCGGUGGAUGCCCAGGGGACGACGAGUUGCCGCUGCCAUGAAGUACUUGUGCCCGUUGCAGUGGUGCUUUCCCUGGUGCCCUCCCAGCCUUGGCGCUUCGUGCCUCCCACCAGCCAAAAUCUGGGUGCUGCAGGGAAAAGAUGGGAAGAGGUUUACUGAGCUUUGAAUGGCAGAAUCAAAGGAAUUAAUUACUCUUUAUAAAUAAACAGAAAAUAUUUAUGAUGGCUUGCA
rnacentral:lncRNA from 1 species